GCUGCCCACUGGUAUCAUAUCUAUGCGGGUAUUGAUGUCGUUGUAGUGUUAGGCUGGGUUAUUGCAUGGUCUGACAAAAUUCAGCAAAAUAGCAGGAAGUUUGCGAGAGGAAAGUCUCACAACGAAUCGUGAACGACUGCCAACGAGACUAGUUCGAGUACUGAUACAAUAAUAACACAAACCCAUGCAGAAAAGUUGGCUCCACAUCUCUUUCAUCUCCCCUGUCCAGAUCGCGAUCACGGAAAGAAGCCGUCAGGAUAAAUCGAGACUGCUAUUGUCUGUUUGUUGGUUCAUGUGGAAUUUGGCGAGUCAAACACGCGCAAAGAUAGGAACAUUUAUUCGGCUCUCUGUCGAACGUCUCUUCUUACAACUAGUGGCUGUCUUCUGAAGAUUCAAAGUUGCUCAGCUGGUGCGACUACGUGUAAAGUAAAAGUUCGUGGUACUCUUACGACAGAUCCGGCAACGAGAUUUACCAUUGUUACUGUUACGGCACAAGAUGGAACAGUAGGAAAGUGCAUUGAAUUCACCACAGCUAGCCAAGUUAAAUAUGCUUUGAAGGUCGACAAUACGACUAAUAUAAUUUUUGAGAAACAGCACAAUGGGUGUGAUAACGGAAUCCCUGAUGACUUCAUUUUCAAAGAAGCGAGAAAAAUCCCUCGCCAUUUCACAUAUACACACAAUGCGAAGUGUCUUGGUACAAACAUUGAUGGCGCCUUGUCCUUAAUGAAUAUUAAUGAUAAAAGAUGUAGGUACCGUCUUUUUAAGUGGACUUGAAUUUAAAAAAGAUAUAUACUUUUAACCGAUACUUUGCCUGUCUAAUGCCCUAUUCACACCAGCAAAACACGUUUAGUUAAACCAGUUUUAACUAAUCAAAAGCCAGCUACUAGAAGUUGGAGGUUUAAAUUUUUCAUAGGAUUCCAGUAAUCACCAACUUUUAUUUCUUUUAUGCGUGUUUGUGCUAAAAUUUGAAGUCAGCAAAAAUAAUUUUUGGCAGCUUCUAUCAAGAAAACGAUUUCAAAUAUUUGUCGAUAAAUCAGCUUUAAAACGCUUGCAACCAUGAAAGCUUCGGUGUGAAUGGGUCGUAAGAUUGCAGCGCAAGAUGACAGUGGAACACUAACUAACCCUGAUGGAAAACUUUAUACAGAAUGCAAAGCUUUCUCUCUUAUUUUUUCUGUUGUUGUUAUUGAUGAUUUCUUAAACAUUUCGUGUUAGUUUCCUAGCGACUUAUGUUUUCGUUAGUAUCUAGUUUAUAUGCACAUUGACAAGACAACCAUAGUAUCAAAAGUGAAAACAAUUAUUAUGCAACUUAUUGAUCGAUCAUAGGUAGUCGGAUUUCUUCCCUUACUGGUCUUGAAUUGAAACUGAAAGUACUAUAUUUUUAUCAGCUUUUAUUUACGAUGUUAACCAGCCUUAAGCUGAGUUUAAAAAUGCUUGCAAUA
rnacentral:misc_RNA from 1 species